CUUGGUCAUUUAGAGGAAGUAAAAGUCGUAACAAGGUCUCCGUUGGUGAACCAGCGGAGGGAUCAUUAGAGAGUUGCAAAACUCCCAAACCAUUGUGAACAUACCUUCAACGUUGCUUCGGCGGGUUGGCCCCGGUCUCCGGGGUCCCCGGCCCUACUCGGGCGCCCGCCGGAGGUAUCUAACUCUUGAACUUUUAUGGCCACUCUGAGUCUUUGUACUUAAUAAGUCAAAACUUUCAACAACGGAUCUCUUGGUUCUGGCAUCGAUGAAGAACGCAGCGAAAUGCGAUAAGUAAUGUGAAUUGCAGAAUUCAGUGAAUCAUCGAAUCUUUGAACGCACAUUGCGCCCGCCAGUAUUCUGGCGGGCAUGCCUGUUCGAGCGUCAUUUCAACCAUCAAGCCCCCGGCUUGUGUUGGGGACCUGCGGCUGCCGCAGGCCCUGAAAACCAGUGGCGGGCUCGCUAGUCACUCCGAGCGUAGUAAUACAUCUCGCUCAGGGCGUGCUGCGGGUUCCGGCCGUUAAAAAGCCUUAUUUACCCAAAGGUUGACCUCGGAUCAGGUAGGAAGACCCGCUGAACUUAAGCAUAUCAAUAAGCGGAGGA
rnacentral:misc_RNA from 1 species